AGGACGAACGCUGGCGGCGUGCUUAACACAUGCAAGUCGAACGGAAAGGCCCGCUUGCGGGUACUCGAGUGGCGAACGGGUGAGUAACACGUGGGCAACCUGCCCUCAGCUUCGGGAUAACACUUGGAAACAGGUGCUAAUACCGGAUAAUAACUUUUCAUCGCAUGGUGGAUGGUUCAAAGUUUUUCGGCUGAGGAUGGGCCCGCGGCCUAUCAGCUUGUUGGUGGGGUAAUGGCCUACCAAGGCGACGACGGGUA
rnacentral:rRNA from 1 species